GUAAUUAUAGGCCUGUCGGACUGACAUCAAUCCUGGACAGUGGCGGCUUGCUGCGAAUGGAAGGAGUCGUGUUCUCGAUGUAUGUGUGUGUGUAUCCCACGGUUUGUUGCUUCACUGCCAAGCAGCAUGCAUCUUGGGAUUGUGGGAAGCCAGGGAGAAAUCACUGGUGAGUCUAGGACAUUGGCCUCUCAGCUUCCCCAGCAAGCAAUGUGUUGACUGAACUAAGGGAACAGUUUUACUUCCUGAAGCCAGUAGAGACUAUUUAUACUUAAACACAUUUCUUCACAACUUACAGCAUGUUGUAUUAGGUGAGAGCCUGUGAGCUGGACAGGCUGCAAUCUCUGUUUGUGCGGUUUGCAAGCUGGAGCUUGUGGUGUGCUUCACCAAGUUUGCACAUUUUCUCUUUCUCUUUACCCUGGAAUCAGCUACCCUGCUGAUCUGAAGUCCCUUUGGGAUGUGAACUCAUCUCACCAGAAGUCAAAGUGCUGAUGCAAUAAAACAAGCAGU